rnacentral:misc_RNA from 1 species
UACAUCGACUAACAAAUAGCCUGACUCCCAACGGAGUGGUGCUACAUCGACUGAGGGUUUGGUUUGGGCAGGCAGUCUAUCAAAUAAUUAAUAUACACUCUUAAAAAAGUUCCGGUAAAAUUUGCUUGAACUGUUCAGGCUAUUUUUAACGCCUGAAACUUUAUUUUUUAACAACUGAAAGUUCGAUCGUUGCGUUCCUAUGAUACCUUUUCUAUGAAAAUGGAAUUUCUAUGGAAGCAACUGCUAAAUUGUCGAGUGAAGAUAUUGACGGAGAUGCAUUUGUGCAAAUGAACUCUGUUUUGUUUCAUUGUAUUGGAAUAAAAAUGGGUCAAGCUAUAAAGCUUCAGUCUGUCAUUGCAGCAGAAAAGGUAUCCAUCAAGAGUAACAGAAACAAAUCUUGCAAUGUCAAUCAUUAACGCUUUUCUUAAACUGCACUCUGGUGGACCUCUAGGAUAUAUAUUUAGGAAAAUUACUAUUGCGCUUAUAAGGAAAUUGAAGUAAAUGGCAAAAAAAAGAAAAUAACACCUCAUGGACAUAUUGAGGAGCGGCAUAUAAGGAAGUUGAAGUAAAUGGCAAAAUAAAGAAAAUAACACCUCAUGGACAUAUUGAGGAGCGGCUGAAAACAAUAAGGAAGUUUGACGGUGUCCAUGCUCAAGCUACUCGUAAACGAAAAUCCAUUUCCCCAACAACUUUUGAUGUUGCAGUUCCUUUUUCAAAUAAAGAACGAAACAUUAUAAGUGAGUUGUCAUUUGACGACAUUCAGUAUGAUCGAAAACAAUAUAUUCUUGAAAAAACUACUGUACCACGAAGAAACUGGAUUAAGUCAUCAAAACCACCUUUUCAUGAGUUUAUUCUGAAAUUUCCCUCAUUUAAAGAUUUAGGAUUUGAUUUUCAGAGAGAGUUUACAGCAACAUUUGAAAAUGCUCAAGAUUUGCUUAUGUAAUGGGAGGAUAUGGCUCCUCAUGUUAUUACUUGGGCUCGUAGAAAGGCGAAUCCAAUGGCAAAGCAACUACUUUUAGAACUUUGACAACCAGCUAAUAUCUUCAAAUGGAAUGUCACAUCGUCUUCUUUUCAUUACUGUUUUUAUAUUUUAUAGCUUUCACAAACUAAAACUAUUUUCUUUAUUCUAAAAUAUGUACUUUUUAAAUUUUAAAUAUUUUUGAAAAUCAAAGAUCGAAAUAUGGAAUUUGCAUUUCACUUGCUUCUGUACAUUCUUCAAGUGCCUCCUAGAAAUAAGGAUCGACCGUCAGCAGCUGAAGUUGCACCUCACUUUAUUCAAAUCUUUCCUGACACUACACCUAUGGAGACUAUAAUUGAUGCAAGACACACUUCUUUCAUGCAUCCAUUUGUUAUUACACUAGGGGCUCGAGGCAACUUGAUUCAGUCAUUUAU